AAGGAGGCCUGAUGAUAACCUCAGAGUAUGCUCGGAGAUAACCAGCCAGGAGAACAUGUACAUUGGAUGAUGUGCGUGAAGACCCCAAUCCUGCUCUUAAAUGCUCUUGGUUUGGUUGAGGGCAAAGGAAAGAGGAAAGAGUCUAGUUUUCUUGAGUUAUAAUUUUCCUAACCCUCAAACUCUGGAAUUAUUUAGGGUUGGGGCUUAAAAGAAUCAAGCGUUGGAUCUUUGUAGUUCUUAGAGACUGCUAUCUUAAGCUGUCUGGGCCAUUCUUCCCCUGGUCAGACCUGAGGUGCUGACUGAGCUGCUAGGCCUCCCGACACUACCGGGUUUGCUGGUGAUUAAGAGCAUGUUUGUCUGAGUGCCUAAGUACCACGGCAAACUGCCCAGUUCAAAUGAAUCGAUGGACUAAAAAUUGUCUUCCCCGUGAUACUGCCAAGAAGCCUCCAGCCAACACUCCAGGCCACUGAGAAAAGAUCCAUUGAGCUCAGCUGGAGGCUCGGUUUCAGCUGACUCAGCAUCCUGGAAGCACUUCACCAGUCAUUUACCUCUCUGCGUUUCUCGUUGCAGCUCUGCACUACAUGGCUUCUCUUGAUGCAGUAGGCUUUCUACCAAGCCAGGAGGCCCUGUGGCUUGAAAUGAUGGCUAACAACAUCUCUGUGUGCUUCUGAAAGGCCCGCGAAGUAGACCUUGCCUCCCAGUCCAUUUUCUUUCUCUCUUAGUUUAAUUCACAUUUGGGUUUAGACCAAGUCAUAAAGGAUUUAGUUCAAGAAAAACAUUUUUCAAAAUGAUGAAUGGAAUUAAUCUCGUAAAGGCUGGGGAAAAUAAUAUUUGCGUUUGAAACUCAAAAGUUUGAGGAGUCUGUGAAAGUCAAUGAAAGUGGCUCUGGUCCAACUCGACUGAGAACUUAGAACAAGUUGCUGCAGUGACUGUGGUCCAUGACCCAGAGUUGUGGCCUUCAAGACAGGUCUUCCUCCACCAAGCCCAUACUGUUUCACCCAAACCAACAGACCACAGUAAUAAGAGGACAGGCAUCACUUAACUCACUGGCAAGAAAGCCCAGCAUACUCUGAUUCAGAAGGAUCGUGUUGGCCAACAAGUUAAGGCUCUGUUGUUGAGCCAUAAAGCUCAUCUAGGAUGGCCUUGAGGCAUCCAGACUCUGAAGACUUCCAACAGGGUAAACACUAAGAUCAUGUCCUCUGAAGUGUCAUGGCUGCCACCAGGUAGGCCCGAAUAUGCUUGUUUCUUCGGCUAGCAUGAAGCAUGAAGCGGUCAGUCUGACUUUCAAGUUACUUCUUUUUACAACGAAGCAGCAUGAAUUUACACGUUUGAGAGAAGAAUGAACUACACCAGCAUGUGUGACCUAUAGGAAGGCAGAGGAAAAGGCAAGAUGCAGCGCCAUAAAAAUAAACUAAACCCGUGGAUGUCCUUGAGUUUGUCCAUUUGGUGAUUCUCCUCAGGACCGGAUGCCGGAACAAGAAAGUAUUAGUGACUUCUGUCGGGUGGCCUUCUCUUCACCCGUUAACCUCACCAGGCAGAAUGACAGCGAAAUCUCAUUUACCCCACCAUCUGCUCAGCUGGGAACACUAGUGAGAGGCUGAGUGUGGCUAGUCAGAAGGUUCCCCACAUUAUGGUAAAUGAGGAGGCAGUCAAGAGGGAAGCAACAGGCAGCGAAGCAAAUGGCAGCGAUUAACUGCAGAACACAAAGGGAACCCCUAGUGGGCUAAUCGAGUCAAUGCACUCUCCCGACUGCUAUUUAAUAAAUCCUAAUUAAAUCAGAUGCUACUAAUUUGAAACUCUUGUUUAUUUGGACUGGACCUCGCUAA
rnacentral:sRNA from 1 species